UGUGUGUGUGUGUGUGUGUGUUUGUUUGUUGGCACGAUAACUCGAGCGGAAGAAGCUACCAAUGUCAAAUUACACCACGUGAUUCGGGAGGGUGAUGGCUCGCGCUGAUUAGAUUUUGGUCAAAGGUCAAGGUCACAGUGAGGUCAAACAUUUGAUGGUUUGGUAGGGGGGGGGGGGGGGGGGGGGGGGGGGGGGGGGGGGGGGGGGGGGGGGGUGCUACCUUCUCUCGAGACAGCUUUUAUUAGACAAGGUCAGAGGUCAAGUUGACAAUUUCGUAAGUACCAGUCAAUGACUGCUUGUUUAUUUAUUUUUCCCUUCCUUAACCAUGACACACUUUAUCUGCUGUACUAGGUUGAUGGUUAGUGAUUGCAGUGUGCAGCUACUCCCGAUCCCAACAAACACCCCCAUUGGGAAUCGUUUCGUGCACAUCACCCCGGCACUAGUCACGACUACCAGAUCGACGGCUCAAAGUGAAGGACAAGUUCAGUCCAUUCCCAAGCUCAUGAUAGAGGUGGAAUCGGCAGGGAAAGGGACUGUGGACAUCGGUCCAAGUAUGGCUGGAGAGGGAUGUUUUAAAAGGCUUUCUGUAAGCAAACGUCACAGGAAUGACAACCUUUGCACCUCUCCUGCACCUGGCAUGUCAGACACCUAUGAUCUGGCUAUGACCCAACCGGAAUCUUGCGCAGAGUGUGAUGCGCAUGAUGGCACGGUGAAUAACCCAUGUAGAACGUGCGGGAAAAUGACUGCUGUCUGCAUCGACGAGGGAGCGAAUACCACACCACUCACCAGCGCUGCGACGUCUAUGGUUGUGGAAAGUGAUAUUCUGAAGGAAGGGUUGCGAUCGGCACAAGUCGUGCAGUUCAAAAGCACGCACCUCAUUGGAAUUGGCCAUGGUGUCGUGGUUCGUUGUGUCAGCAAUGAGAGUCGAGGCAGUUUUCAGCCACGACCACCAUCCUCAUGUCCUACCGAGAGGGGUAGACGAGGUCUUCUGUCUCAGAGGUUCAGGCGUAAUGGCCGUCGGUCUCUUGGUAGACCACAGCAGCCAGCUGAACCCAUUGUUCUGUCAAGUGAUGAGGAAGAGGAGGAGAGAAAACGACGGAAAGAGGACCGUGUGGCAGCGGCGACCGAGGAAUGUACACCUCAACUUGAUCGCUCACUUUCAGAUGACAAUGGUUUGGUGUUUGAAUCUGACAUCGACAUGACGGAGGAAAAAGCAAAAUCGAGAUCUGAUUUGCUGACCUCUGAGUGUGAAAAUCCCAUUUUGGAGCCAAUUGCUGAACAUUGCACAUCCAGAGAUCGGGAACCGAGUCUGGAUAGUGACGCGCGAUUGACGCCUGAGGAAGAUUCAAAGACCGAGCUGCAGUUUCUCUCAACACUACCACCUGUUCCUCCUCUACUGAACAAGAAGGCUCGCAUGAAAGAUGAGUUUGGGCAGCUCGCUUUGUCCCAGGACAAGCAGCGAAAGGUCAGGCCGAAGCAAGCAAGUGCGACGCAGUCCUCUCUGACAUCCGAGUCUGAGAAAUGCUAUUCAAUGGUUCUGCAGUUACAGUGCAGGUUUUUGCGUUUGGGAACAUUGAAAGUGAUGGCCCAGAGAAGUGUCACGGUUUCUGUCGAAAAUGUGA
rnacentral:lncRNA from 1 species